CCUACGGGAGGCAGCAGUGAGGAAUAUUGGUCAAUGGACGAGAGUCUGAACCAGCCAAGUAGCGUGAAGGAUGACUGCCCUAUGGGUUGUAAACUUCUUUUAUAAGGGAAUAAAACGGGGCACGCGUGCCCUUUUGCAUGUACCUUAUGAAUAAGGAUCGGCUAACUCCGUGCCAGCAGCCGCGGGAAUACGGAGGAUCCGAGCGUUAUCCGGAUUUAUUGGGUUUAAAGGGAGCGGAGGUUGGUUGUUAAGUCAGUUGUGAAAGUUUGCGGCUCAACCGUAAAAUUGCAGUUGAAACUGGCAGUCUUGAGUACAGUAGAGGUAGGCGGAAUUCGUGGUGUAGCGGUGAAAUGCUUAGAUAUCACGAAGAACCCCGAUUGCGAAGGCAGCUUACUAAACUGUAACUGACAUUGAUGCUCGAAAGUGUGGGUAUCAAACAGGAUUAGAUACCCGUGUAGUC
rnacentral:rRNA from 1 species